rnacentral:rRNA from 1 species
UUGACCUCGGAUCAGGUAGGAAGACCCGCUGAACUUAAGCAUAUCAAUAAGCGGAGGAAAAGAAACCAACAGGGAUUGCCCUAGUAACGGCGAGUGAAGCGGCAACAGCUCAAAUUUGAAAUCUGGCUUCGGCCCGAGUUGUAAUUUGUAGAGGAUGCUUUGGGCGCGGCGCCAACUGAGUUCCCUGGAACGGGACGCCACAGAGGGUGAGAGCCCCGUAUAGUUGGAUGCCUAGCCUAUGUAAAGCUCCUUCGACGAGUCGAGUAGUUUGGGAAUGCUGCUCAAAAUGGGAGGUA